rnacentral:rRNA from 1 species
CGGACGGGUGAGUAAUGUCUGGGAAACUGCCCGAUGGAGGGGGAUAACUACUGGAAACGGUAGCUAAUACCGCAUAACGUCGCAAGACCAAAGAGGGGACCUUCGGGCCUCUUGCCAUCGGAUGUGCCCAGAUGGGAUUAGCUAGUAGGUGGGGUAACGGCUCACCUAGGCGACGAUCCCUAGCUAGUCUGAGAGGAUGACCAGCCACACUGGAACUGAGACACGGUCCAG